GCUGGCGGUAUGCUUAACACAUGCAAGUCGAACGGAAACGAUACUAGCUUGCUAGUAGGCGUCGAGUGGCGGACGGGUGAGUAACGCGUAGGAAUCUGCCUGAUAGUGGGGGAUAGCCCGGAGAAAUUCGGAUUAAUACCGCAUAAUCUAUUCGUAGUAAAGUGGGGGACUUUCGAGCCUCACGCUAUCAGAUGAGCCUGCGUAAGAUUAGCUUGUUGGUAGGGUAAAAGCCUACCAAGGCGACGAUCUUUAGCUGGUCUGAGAGGAUGAUCAGCCACAUCGGGACUGAGACACGGCCCGAACUCCUACGGGAGGCAGCAGUGGGGAAUAUUGGACAAUGGGGGCAACCCUGAUCCAGCAAUACCGCGUGUGUGAAGAAGGCCUGAGGGUUGUAAAGCACUUUCAAUUGUGAAGAAAAGUUAACGGUUAAUAACCGUUAGCCUUGACGUUAACUUUAGAAGAAGCACCGGCUAACUCCGUGCCAGCAGCCGCGGUAAUACGGAGGGUGCAAGCGUUAAUCGGAAUUACUGGGCGUAAAGCGUGCGUAGGCGGUUUAUUAAGUCAGAUGUGAAAGCCCCGGGCUUAACCUGGGAACUGCAUUUGAAACUGGUAAACUAGAGUAUGGUAGAGGAAAGUGGAAUUUCUGGUGUAGCGGUGAAAUGCGUAGAUAUCAGAAGGAACAUCAAUGGCGAAGGCAGCUUUCUGGACCAAUACUGACGCUGAGGUACGAAAGCGUGGGUAGCAAACAGGAUUAGAUACCCUGGUAGUCCACGCCGUAAACGAUGAUAACUAGCCGUUGGGGGGAUUUACCCUUUAGUGGCGAAGCUAACGCGUUAAGUUAUCCGCCUGGGGAGUACGGCC
rnacentral:rRNA from 1 species